GGAUUCUGCAGAAAAAUGAGACCAUUACCCAACAGAAAAUACUUGGCUCUGGGAAGAGACAUGGAGGAAAUGUCUGACAGAUCUGUGUGACAGAGAGCAGCACUCCCUUGGUGAGGAAGGAGUGAUGGAUGUCCUCAUUGUGGCCAUUUUGGUUAAGGAGAAAUUGCUGUCUAACUGAUCUUUUGUGGACUUCUGACCAAAACCAUCCAGUGCAACAUAUGAGGACAGUUGGAAUGGGAAGAUAUAGCAUGGUUAACCAGAAUCCAGACUCAUCUGAGCUCCUUGGGCAUCUCCCACUGCAACAUUCAGGACCUGAGGUAUGUAUUUAUUUCUGGGAGCACAAACAUGGUG
ensembl:lncRNA